AGGUGCGAUCAUAACAGCACGAAUGCGUCGUAUCCCAUCCGAACUCCACAGAUAAGCAUGUUUGGCCAAGAGUAGUACUAGGAUGGGUGACCUCCUAAGAAGUCCUCGUGUUGCACCUC
rnacentral:rRNA from 2 species